rnacentral:rRNA from 1 species
AUUGCCUUAGUAACGGCGAGUGAAGCGGCAAAAGCUCAAAUUUGAAAUCUGGCACCUUCGGUGUCCGAGUUGUAAUUUGAAGAAGGUAACUUUGGAGUUGGCUCUUGUCUAUGUUCCUUGGAACAGGACGUCACAGAGGGUGAGAAUCCCGUGCGAUGAGAUGCCCAAUUCUAUGUAAAGUGCUUUCGAAGAGUCGAGUUGUUUGGGAAUGCAGCUCUAAGUGGGUGGUAAAUUCCAUCUAAAGCUAAAUAUUGGCGAGAGACCGAUAGCGAACAAGUACAGUGAUGGAAAGAUGAAAAGAACUUUGAAAAGAGAGUGAAAAAGUACGUGAAAUUGUUGAAAGGGAAGGGCUUGAGAUCAGACUUGGUAUUUUGCGAUCCUUUCCUUCUUGGUUGGGUUCCUCGCAGCUUACUGGGCCAGCAUCGGUUUGGAUGGUAGGAUAAUGACUAAGGAAUGUGGCUCUACUUCGGUGGAGUGUUAUAGCC